rnacentral:tRNA from 1 species
GAGGCUCUAGCUUAAUUAAAGUAUCUGGGUUGCAUUCAGAAGAUGCGGGGUAAUGUCCUGCGGGUCUCA